rnacentral:rRNA from 1 species
UACGGAGGGGGCGAGCGUUAUUCGGAAUCAUUGGGCGUAAAGGGCGCGUAGGCGGCCCGGUAAGUCAAAGGUGAAAUCCCUCGGCUCAACUGAGGAACUGCCUUUGAAACUGUCGGGCUUGAGGCCAGGAGGGGGUAGCGGAAUUCCCAGUGUAGCGGUGAAAUGCGUAGAUAUUGGGAGGAACACCAGUGGCGAAGGCGGCUACCUGGACCGGUUCUGACGCUGAUGCGCGAAAGCGUGGGUAGCAAACAGG